GAUGAACGCUGGCGGUAUGCUUAACACAUGCAAGUCGAACGGACUCUUCGGAGUUAGUGGCGGACGGGUGAGUAACGCGUGAGAAUCUGGCUUUGGGUUCGGGACAACCACUGGAAACGGUGGCUAAUACCGGAUGUGCCGAGAGGUAAAAGAGAAAUUGCCUGAAGAUGAGCUCGCGUCUGAUUAGCUAGUUGGUGAGGUAAAGGCUCACCAAGGCAGCGAUCAGUAGCUGGUCUGAGAGGAUGACCAGCCACACUGGGACUGAGACACGGCCCAGACUCCUACGGGAGGCAGCAGUGGGGAAUUUACCGCAAUGGGCGAAAGCCUGACGGAGCAAUACCGCGUGAGGGAAGAAGGCUAUUGGGUUGUAAACCUCUUUUCUUAGGGAAGAACAAAAUGAAGGUACCUAAGGAAUCAGCAUCGGCUAACUCCGUG
rnacentral:rRNA from 1 species